rnacentral:rRNA from 1 species
GACGAACGCUGGCGGCGCGCCUAACACAUGCAAGUCGAACGAGAGAGAGGGAGCUUGCUUCCUCAAUCGAGUGGCGAACGGGUGAGUAACGCGUGAGGAACCUGCCUCAAAGAGGGGGACAACAGUUGGAAACGACUGCUAAUACCGCAUAAGCCCACAGGUCGGCAUCGACCAGAGGGAAAAGGAGCAAUCCGCUUUGAGAUGGCCUCGCGUCCGAUUAGCUAGUUGGUGAGGUAAUGGCCCACCAAGGCAACGAUCGGUAGCCGGACUGAGAGGUUGAACGGCCACAUUGGGACUGAGACACGGCCCAGACUCCUACGGGAGGCAGCAGUGGGGAAUAUUGCACAAUGGGGGAAACCCUGAUGCAGCGACGCCGCGUGGAGGAAGAAGGUCUUCGGAUUGUAAACUCCUGUUGUUGAGGAAGAUAAUGACGGUAC